GGCUAGCUUUUCUCCUAUCAGGUUGUUUUCAAUUAUACUUGUGAAUGUCAGACUUAUUUCAUAUGUUUCUAUCGGUGAAAUAUAGAAUUUUACAGAAAAAGGCGACAGAGUACAGAAAUACGCAGAAUAAGAGUAUACUUUAUCUUUUAGUUUUUAAUGUUCAUAUAUAUCUCUUGUGAAUGUCAAAUCCAUUCAGAAUGUUUUCUAUUGUAGAGUAUAUAGAUACAGAUCUUUUUGUUUUUAAUGUUCAUAUAUAUCUCUUUUAAUGUCAUACCUAUCCCGAAUAUUUUCUGUUGCAGAGUAUAUAGAUUCAGAUCUUUUUGUUCCUAAUGUUCAUAUAUAUGUCAGAUUAAUUUCGAAUGUUUUUUGUUGCAGAGUAUAUAGAUCCAGAUCUUUUUAUUUUUAAUGUUCAUAUAUAUCAUACCCAUCCUGAAUGUUUUCUGUUGCAGAGUAUACUGUUGCAGAAUAUAUAGAUCCAGAUCAUUUUGUUCCUAAUGUUCAUAUAUAUGUCAGAUCCAUCCGAAUAUUUUCUGUUCAAGAGUAUAUAGAUUAGAUUUUUUUGUUUUUAAUGUUGAUAUGAUAAGGAAAAGGCGGUGGAAUAUAGGAUUUCACAUAAAGGCGGUGGAGUAUAGAAUUUCACAAAAAGACAGUGG
rnacentral:lncRNA from 1 species